AUUAAACGCUGGCGACAAGCUUAACACAUGCAAGUUGUGCGAAUUAUAAAAAAUUAGCAGCGAACGGGUGAGUAAUAUGCAAGAAUCUGCCUUUUAGUAACGAAAAGUAUAUAGAAAUGUAUAGUAAUUCGAUAUAAAUCCUAAUGGAUAAAGUAUGGGAAAGCCAUAUGCUAAAAGAAGAGCUUGUAUCGGAUUAGUUAGUUGUUGAAGUAAAGGUUUAACAAGACUAUGAUCCGUAGUUGAUCUUAGAGGAUGAACAACCACAUUGGGACUGAGACACGGCCCAAACUUCUAAGGAAGGCAGCAGUGGGGAAUAUUGGACAAUGAGCGAAAGCUUGAUCCAGCUAUGUCGCGUGUGUGAAGAAGGCCUUAGGGUUGUAAAACACUUUCAACAACGAAAGAAGAAUUAAAAAUUAAAUAAAUUUUUUUUUUUGACGAUAUUUGUAAAAGAAGCACCGGCUAACUUCGUGCCAGCAGCCGCGGUAAUACGAGGGGUGCAAGCGUUAAUCGAAAUUAUUGGGCGUAAAGGGUGUGUAGGUUGUUUGUGAUAGUUAAUUUUGUUAAAUUUAUUAAAGUAAUUUAAUAAAGCAAUUAAUACUAAUAAACUUGAGUAUAAAAGAAGAAAUUAGAAUUUCGGGAGUAGCAGUGAAAUGCUCAGAUAUCUGAAAGAAUACUAGUGGCGAAGGCGUUUUUCUAUUUUAAUACUGACACUGAUACACGAAAGCGUGGGGAGCAAACAGGAUUAGAUACCCUGGUAGUCCACGCAGUAAACGAUGUCAACUAUUUAUUAAAUAACAUAUUUUAAAAAAAUAUUUUUUUAUUUAAAAAAUGUAUUUUUUAGUGAAAAAAGCUAACGCGUUAAAGUUGACCGCCUGGGGGAUUACGACCGCAAGGGUUAAAACUCAAAUGAAAUUGACGGGGGCUCGCACA
rnacentral:rRNA from 1 species